UACGUAGGGUGCGAGCGUUGUCCGGAAUUACUGGGCGUAAAGAGCUCGUAGGUGGUUUGUCGCGUUGUUCGUGAAAUCUCACGGCUUAACUGUGAGCGUGCGGGCGAUACGGGGCAGACUAGAGUACUGCAGGGGAGACUGGAAUUCCUGGUGUAGCGGUGGAAUGCGCAGAUAUCAGGAGGAACACCGGUGGCGAAGGCGGGUCUCUGGGCAGUAACUGACGCUGAGGCACGAAAGCGUGGGGGAGCAAACAGG
rnacentral:rRNA from 1 species